rnacentral:lncRNA from 1 species
AGGGGUUGUCGGGGAAGAGGCUGGACACCUCGGGGGAGGCUGGAACUGGCCGAGAGGGUCGCCCCCACCUUGGUGGCUUCCUGUAGCGCGCCCAGAGCACAGUUUUGGCAUGCCACGGCAUGCUGGUGCGCUCUGAGGCACUUUGGACAUUUCCAGCAUGUCCUGGCACUGGCUGGGAGUGAGGCUAGCCAUUUGGGUCUCGUGGGAGCUUUGGCUCGUCAAGGGAGACAAGGAAUACUGGUGCUGUCAGCUUUGAACUAAAGCUUAGAUUGGGGUUUUUUGGCAUUUCCACUUUGAACCAGUGAGGGGCCAGUUGACAGGGGUUGGGCAUUGAUACUGGCCACCUAAUCUAUGAGUUUGGAGCAAAGGGGUUGGGUUUAGCUGUGGCUA